GGAGGGGUGGCUGAGUGGUCGAAAGCGGCGGUCUUGAAAACCGUUAGGCGCAUUGGGCGCCUCGUGGGUUCGAAUCCUACCCCCUCCG
rnacentral:tRNA from 1 species